AUACUUACCUGGCAGGGGCGAUACCAUGAUCACGAAGGUGCUUUCCCCAGUGCGAGGCUCACCCAUUGCAUUCUGGGUGUGCUGACCCUUAUGAUUUUCCCAAAUGUGGGAAACUCGACUGCAUAAUUUGUGGUAGUGGGGGGACUGCGUGCGCGCUCUUCCCUG